rnacentral:sRNA from 1 species
ACAAGCGGGGCGAAAAAAACGCUCAACAAAAAAGCCCGGCGGACCGGGCUUUCGUAACGUCGGGCUUUCCU